UACGUAGGGUGCGAGCGUUAAUCGGAAUUACUGGGCGUAAAGUGUGCGCAGGCGGCAGAGCAAGUCGAGUGUGAAAGCCCCGGGCUUAACUUGGGAAUUGCGCUCGAAACUACUUUGCUGGAGUGUGGCAGAGGAAGGUGGAAUUCCACGUGUAGCGGUGAAAUGCGUAGAGAUGUGGAGGAACACCAAUGGCGAAGGCGACUCUUUGGCCUGUAACUGACGCUGAGGCGCGAAAGCGUGGGGAGCAAACAGG
rnacentral:rRNA from 1 species